AGCAAAGUCAGCUAACUAAGCUAUCGGGCCCAUACCCCGAAAAUGUCGGUUCACACCCAACCUAUGCUA
rnacentral:tRNA from 1 species